rnacentral:rRNA from 1 species
UACGGGGGGGGUAAGCGUUGUUCGGAAUUACUGGGCGUAAAGGGCUCGUAGGCGGCCAACUAAGUCGGACGUGAAAUCCCUCAGCUUAACUGGGGAACUGCGUCCGAUACUGGAUGGCUUGGAUUUGGGAGAGGGAUGCGGAAUUCCAGGUGUAGCGGUGAAAUGCGUAGAUAUCUGGAGGAACACCGGUGGCGAAGGCGGCAUCCUGGACCGACACUGACACUGAGGAGCGAAAGCCAGGGGAGCAAACGGG